AGGCGUGGCUUCCGGAGCUAACGCGUUAAAUCGACCGCCUGGGGAGUACGGCCGCAAGGUUAAAACUCAAAUGAAUUGACGGGGGCCCGCACAAGCGGUGGAGCAUGUGGUUUAAUUCGAUGCAACGCGAAGAACCUUACCUACUCUUGACAUCCAGAGAACUUUCCAGAGAUGGAUUGGUGCCUUCGGGAACUCUGAGACAGGUGCUGCAUGGCUGUCGUCAGCUCGUGUUGUGAAAUGUUGGGUUAAGUCCCGCAACGAGCGCAACCCUUAUCCUUUGUUGCCAGCGGUUCGGCCGGGAACUCAAAGGAGACUGCCAGUGAUAAACUGGAGGAAGGUGGGGAUGACGUCAAGUCAUCAUGGCCCUUACGAGUAGGGCUACACACGUGCUACAAUGGCGUAUACAAAGAGAAGCGACCUCGCGAGAGCAAGCGGACCUCAUAAAGUACGUCGUAGUCCGGAUUGGAGUCUGCAACUCGACUCCAUGAAGUCGGAAUCGCUAGUAAUCGUAGAUCAGAAUGCUACGGUGAAUACGUUCCCGGGCCUUGUACACACCGCCCGUCACACCAUGGGAGUGGGUUGCAAAAGAAGUAUGUAGCUUAACCUUCGGGAGGGCGCUUACCACUUUGUGAUUCAUGACUGGGGUGAAGUCGUAACAAGGUA
rnacentral:rRNA from 1 species